GAUGAAGAACGUAGCGAAAUGCGAUAAGUAGUGUGAAUUGCAGAAUUCAGUAAAUCAUCGAAUCUUUGAACGCACAUUGCGCCUCCUGGUAUUCCGGGAGGCAUGCCUGUUCGAGCGUCAUUAAAAUCACUCAAGCUUAGGUUUACCUAUUGCUUGGUCUUGGAGAUGGAAGCCAAUUCAUUGGAAUCCUCUUCGAAAUCCAAUGGCGAAGACCCUUGCUCUCCCAAGUGUAGUAAUAACUUAUGUCACUGAAGGAAGCGAGAAAUCUUCCGCCGUAACCCCCAUAUUUUCUAUGAUUGACCUCGGAUCAGGUAGGGAUACCCGCUGAACUUAAGCAUAUCAAUAAGCGGAGGA
rnacentral:misc_RNA from 1 species